rnacentral:tRNA from 1 species
GCCGGAGUGGCGGAACGGCAGACGCGGCCGGCUUAAACCCGGCCGCCCCGCAAGGGGCGUGGGGGUUCGAAUCCCUCCUCCGGCACCA